GAUGAAGAACGCAGUGAAAUGCGAUAAGUAAUGUGAAUUGCAGAAUUCAGUGAAUCAUCGAAUCUUUGAACGCACCUUGCACCCUUUGGCAUUCCGAAGGGUAUGCUCGUUUGAGUGUCAUUGUACUCUCACACUCCCACUCUUUUGGAUUGGGAGCGGUGGACUUGGGUGUUGCUGCUUCACUGUGGCUCGCCUCAAAUGGAGUAGUGCAACUCUCGGUUGGACAUAGUACGGCGUGAUAAGUGUCUUCGCCGGCGCCUCACUAGAGGGUGGCCGAUCGGGAGCUCUGUGCUUCAAACCGUCUUCGGACAAUCUCUGACAACUUGACCUCAAAUCGAGUAGGACUACCCGCUGAACUUAAGCAUAUCAAUAAGCGGAGGA
rnacentral:misc_RNA from 1 species